UACGGAGGGGGCUAGCGUUGUUCGGAAUUACUGGGCGUAAAGCGCACGUAGGCGGCUUUGUAAGUUAGAGGUGAAAGCCCGGAGCUCAACUCCGGAAUUUGCCUUUAAGACUGCAUCGCUAGAAUUGUGGAGAGGUGAGUGGAAUUCCGAGUGUAGAGGUGAAAUUCGUAGAUAUUCGGAAGAACACCAGUGGCGAAGGCGACUCACUGGACACAUAUUGACGCUGAGGUGCGAAAGCGUGGGGGAGCAAACAGG
rnacentral:rRNA from 1 species